GAUGAACGCUGGCGGCGUGCCCAAUACAUGCAAGUCGAGCGAACAGAUGAGAAGCUUGCUUCUCUGAUGUUAGCGGCGGACGGGUGAGUAACACGUGGGUAACCUACCUAUAAGACUAGGAUAACUCCGGGAAACCGGGGCUAAUACCGGAUAAUAUUUUGAACCGCAUGGUUCAAUAGUGAAAGACGGUUUCGGCUGUCACUUAUAGAUGGACCCGCGCCGUAUUAGCUAGUUGGUAAGGUAACGGCUUACCAAGGCGACGAUACGUAGCCGACCUGAGAGGGUGAUCGGCCACACUGGAACUGAGACACGGUCCAGACUCCCACGGGAGGCAGCAGUAGGGAAUCUUCCGCAAUGGGCGAAAGCCUGACGGAGCAGCGCCGCGUGAGUGAUGAAGGUCUUCGGAUCGUAAAACUCUGUUGUUAGGGAAGAACAAAUUUGUUAGUAACUGAACAAGUCUUGACGGUACCUAACCAGAAAGCCACGGCUAACUACGUGCCAGCAGCCGCAGUAA
rnacentral:rRNA from 1 species